GCGGGCGUGGCGGAAUUGGUAGACGCGCUGGAUUUAGGUUCCAGUGACGAGCAAGUCGUGGGGGUUCGAGGCCCUCCGCCCGCACCA
rnacentral:tRNA from 2 species